UUUCUUUUAUUUUAUUUUUAAAAGUUAUUAAACAAACACGUAAAACACGAACCAAAGUUCAAACUAGCCAUUCUGUCCAAACAGAAAGAAAACAUUUCAAUGUUGAAUUUUUACCAUACAUAUGACACUGAAGUGAGAUUCUAUCACCAUAACUGAUUCACUGACAGAGAUUGGAAAAGAAAAAGCGAGCGUGGGAAGCAUUAAGAGAGGCUUUUUUGAGUAUUAGAUAAGAGAACAAAGCAACAGAAGCUUUUCCUCCUCCUCUCCCCUGUUUUUCACUCUGCAGUAUUUACAUUAUUUGUGAUUUGUGUUUAGGUCAAAGUUUUUCACCUGUUUGCAAAUUAUAUAAUUCAACGUAGUUAACACAACCAGCUGCUGCUAAACCCCCCAUCCAGAAUGCAGCGUCGUCAACAACACCCAGCAGCCGCUAAACCACCCAAUUUAGGAUCAGCAGGCCUGCAGCUCACAGGCUAAAAGUGCCAGGCCAUCAAGCUGCAGUCCACCAUGCCGUGGUUCAUAAGCCAACGCGUCAAGCAGCAGCCCAUGAGGCAGCUUGACGUGAGGUCGCACGUCAAACAGCAGCAGAACGUGCAGGACCAAGGCCAAGGGUUCAUCAAAAAGCAAGAGCAGGACGUGAGCUAGGGGCAGAAGCAGAGGCAGAGAAAGUUUGACUUGCCAGCAGAUUAGAGGAGGAGGCAACGUACUAUGCAGUAGCCCGUCAUGAUAGGAAAUUUUUAGAAAAUGCGAGGUAGGCUGUUCGUGCUGGAAAUGUGAUAGUGCAUGCUGCGACUGUGGAGUCUUGAUCAGCCUGCUGCAUCAUGUGGAAUCAUUUUAAUUCCAAUUAGUUUGAAGGUUUCUUUUAUGGACAUUGUGAUUUACAAUAUAUAUUUCUAC